rnacentral:hammerhead_ribozyme from 1 species
UUCCAGUUGACGAGUUUCAAAUAGGACGAAACGCGCAUCCUGGAU